rnacentral:rRNA from 1 species
CAGCUAAGGUCCCAAAGUCAUGGUUAAGUGGGAAACGAUGUGGGAAGGCCCAGACAGCCAGGAUGUUGGCUUAGAAGCAGCCAUCAUUUAAAGAAAGCGUAAUAGCUCACUGGUCGAGUCGGCCUGCGCGGAAGAUGUAACGGGGCUAAACCAUGCACCGAAGCUGCGGCAGCGACACUGUGUGUUGUUGGGUAGGGGAGCGUUCUGUAAGCCUGUGAAGGUGUGUCGUGAGGCAUGCUGGAGGUAUCAGAAGUGCGAAUGCUGACAUAAGUAACGAUAAAGCGGGUGAAAAGCCCGCUCGCCGGAAGACCAAGGGUUCCUGUCCAACGUUAAUCGGGGCAGGGUGAGUCGACCCCUAAGGCGAGGCCGAAAGGCGUAGUCGAUGGGAAACGGGUUAAUAUUCCCGUACUUGGUGUUACUGCGAAGGGGGGACGGAGAAGGCUAUGUUGGCCGGGCGACGGUUGUCCCGGUUUAAGCGUGUAGGUGUGUGUUCCAGGUAAAUCCGGUUCACUUUAACACUGAGGCGUGACGACGAGGCACUACGGUGCUGAAGCAACAAAUGCCCUGCUUCCAGGAAAAGCCUCUAAGCAUCAGGUAACAUCAAAUCGUACCCCAAACCGACACAGGUGGUCAGGUAGAGAAUACCAAGGCGCUUGAGAGAACUCGGGUGAAGGAACUAGGCAAAAUGGUGCCGUAACUUCGGGAGAAGGCACGCUGACACGUAGGUGAAGUGAUUUACUCAUGGAGCUGAAGUCAGUCGAAGAUACCAGCUGGCUGCAACUGUUUAUUAAAAACACAGCACUGUGCAAACACGAAAGUGGACGUAUACGGUGUGACGCCUGCCCGGU